GCAUAUCAAUAAGCGGAGGAAAAGAAACCAACAGGGAUUGCCCCAGUAACGGCGAGUGAAGCGGCAACAGCUCAAAUUUGAAAUCUGGCCCCCAGGGCCCGAGUUGUAAUUUGUAGAGGAUGCUUUUGGCGCGGUGCCUUCCGAGUUCCCUGGAACGGGACGCCAUAGAGGGUGAGAGCCCCGUCUGGUUGGACACCUAGCCUCUGUAAAGCUCCUUCGACGAGUCGAGUAGUUUGGGAAUGCUGCUCUAAAUGGGAGGUAUAUGUCUUCUAAAGCUAAAUACCGGCCAGAGACCGAUAGCGCACAAGUAGAGUGAUCGAAAGAUGAAAAGCACUUUGAAAAGAGGGUUAAAUAGUACGUGAAAUUGUUGAAAGGGAAGCGUUUGUGACCAGACUUGGGCCCGGUUGAUCAUCCACCGUUCUCGGUGGUGCACUCUGCCGGCCCAGGCCAGCAUCAGUUCGCGCCGGGGGAUAAAGGCUUCGGGAAUGUGGCUCCUCCGGGAGUGUUAUAGCCCGUUGUGUAAUACCCUGGUGCGGACUGAGGUUCGCGCUCCGCAAGGAUGCUGGCGUAAUGGUCAUCAGCGACCCGUCUUGAAACACGGACCAAGGAGUCGUCUUCGUAUGCGAGUGUUCGGGUGUCAAACCCCUACGCGUAAUGAAAGUGAACGCAGGUGAGAGCUUCGGCGCAUCAUCGACCGAUCCUGAUGUUCUCGGAUGGAUUUGAGUAAGAGCAUACGGGGCCGGACCCGAAAGAAGGUGAACUAUGCCUGUAUAGGGUGAAGCCAGAGGAAACUCUGGUGGAGGCUCGCAGCGGUUCUGACGUGCAAAUCGAUCGUCAAAUAUGGGGCAUGGGGCGAAAGACUAAUCGAACCUUUCUAGUAGGCUGGGUUACCAGCAAGAA
rnacentral:rRNA from 2 species